rnacentral:rRNA from 1 species
AUUGAACGCUGGCGGCAGGCCUAACACAUGCAAGUCGACCUUAGUGGCGGACGGGUGAGUAAUGUAUGGGGAUCUGCCCGAUAGAGGGGGAUAACUACUGGAAACGGUAGCUAAUACCGCAUACUAUCGGAUGAACCCAUAUGGGAUUAGCUAGUUGGUGAGGUAAUGGCUCACCAAGGCGACGAUCCCUAGCUGGUCUGAGAGGAUGAUCAGUCACACUGGAACUGAGACACGGUCCAGACUCCUACGGGAGGCAGCAGUGGGGAAUAUUGGACAAUGGGCGAAAGCCUGAUCCAGCCAUGCCGCGUGUGUGAAGAAGGUCUUCGGAUUGUAAAGCACUUUAAGUUGGGAGGCGUUACCAACAGAAUAAGCACCGGCUAACUUCGUGCCAGCAGCCGCGGUAAUAC